rnacentral:rRNA from 1 species
GUCUAGGGCCAUACCACCCUGGACACGCCCGUUCCCGUUGGAUCUCAGAAGCUAAGCAAGGCCGGGUUUGUACUGGUUGAUGCUUGGAUGGGAGACAGUUUCUCCCACUUAGCCCUGGACC